GAGAGGUGGCAGAGUGGUCGAAUGCGGCGGUCUUGAAAACCGUUGAACUGAAAGGUUCCGGGGGUUCGAAUCCCUCCCUCUCC
rnacentral:tRNA from 1 species